rnacentral:tRNA from 1 species
CGGGCUGUGGCGCAGUUUGGUUAGCGCACUGGUCUGGGGGACCAGGGGUCGGAGGUUCAAAUCCUCUCAGCCCGACAA